GAGCUUGCUCCACCGGAAAAAGAGGAGUGGCGAACGGGUGAGUAACACGUGGGUAACCUGCCCAUCAGAAGGGGAUAACACUUGGAAACAGGUGCUAAUACCGUAUAACAAUCGAAACCGCAUGGUUUUGAUUUGAAAGGCGCUUUCGGGUGUCGCUGAUGGAUGGACCCGCGGUGCAUUAGCUAGUUGGUGAGGUAACGGCUCACCAAGGCCACGAUGCAUAGCCGACCUGAGAGGGUGAUCGGCCACAUUGGGACUGAGACACGGCCCAAACUCCUACGGGAGGCAGCAGUAGGGAAUCUUCGGCAAUGGACGAAAGUCUGACCGAGCAACGCCGCGUGAGUGAAGAAGGUUUUCGGAUCGUAAAACUCUGUUGUUAGAGAAGAACAAGGAUGAGAGUAACUGUUCAUCCCUUGACGGUAUCUAACCAGAAAGCCACGGCUAACUACGUGCCAGCAGCCGCGGUAAUACGUAGGUGGCAAGCGUUGUCCGGAUUUAUUGGGCGUAAAGCGAGCGCAGGCGGUUUCUUAAGUCUGAUGUGAAAGCCCCCGGCUCAACCGGGGAGGGUCAUUGGAAACUGGGAGACUUGAGUGCAGAAGAGGAGAGUGGAAUUCCAUGUGUAGCGGUGAAAUGCGUAGAUAUAUGGAGGAACACCAGUGGCGAAGGCGGCUCUCUGGUCU
rnacentral:rRNA from 1 species